AGACGCGGUCCGCGGGAGGGGAGGGCAGGAAGGUGAGGCUGGGAGAAGGCCAUAUCCGAGAAUGAGGAAGAAACAGUAGGACAAUGGGAAAGUGGGUCCCCAGCGAGGAGAACGUUGGCCGUGGGACGGGCAGAACCGAGGGGAGGGCGGGAGCGAAUCUCAAAAAGCCUGGACGUUUUGCCCGCUUCCGGCGACAGAAAUUGUCGGGUUCAGUGGGGGUUUAAAAUCAGAAGUUCCUUCUGGGGCCGCUGUGACCCGUGUACUUUGGGGUCUAAGGAGAGGACUCCGUGUUUCCCACGACCUCCGGGCACCCUCGCCGUUUGUACAAGAGCACAGCAGCCUGGACACCAGCAGCAGACCUGCAGGUCCCUGCCUGUAAAAAUUUUGCUUGACUUACCCAGCUCCCAGCAGGGAAUUCUCAACUGCACUAUGACAUGGCUUCCACUGCUUCUCCUCUUCUCCUUUCUUGGCCCUUCACAGAGCUAUGCUUGUCUGGAAGACCCAGAAGGUGAGUUGCCAUCUAGGAUGCCCAGGGUUCUUUCCACGCCUUCUCAGAUGCCCUGGACGCCACCCACUUCAAACAGCUCCUGUGGUAUGGAAAUUUUCCAGGCAGUUGUUUCUCAGCAAGGACCCUGCUCUUUCCCUUAGAGGAUAAAGUAAAUAACAUAAUUUUUUAAAGUUCUGAGGUCCUUUAGCUCCAGUUGUGGGAAUUUGUGCAGAAUGUCUCCUGUGCCUAAACUGAAUGUAAGGGCGGCGGUAAGCCAACAAGGCACAGCUGGAGCCACAGAGCCAGCCUGGACCAGAGUCAGGAUCAUAUUUGGAAGGAGUUGGGAAAGGCUCAGGAAGAGGUAGAGCCAAAGGAGGGGUCCCCACAGUGUAGUAGAAUGCAGGAAAUGAAGGAUGGGUUGGGGCAAGAGGAGAAUUUCAGUAUGAUCAUGAAUUAUGUGGAGGGAGGGAACUGGACCGGGUUAAGGUGGCACCCUGUGAAGGAAUCUGGGGACUGAGAGGAGUCAGGGAGGGGCAGGUGAGAGGAGACCUAAAGUGCACAGUAAUCUGAUAUCUACUUUAAAUGGGUAGAUGAAAAAGAAAGAAGAAUUUCCUAGCAAAGUUUCAAAGCUGUUUGUUGCUAAAAAUUCACGCUUGGUUUCUACCACUUGUCGCAUAGCAUGGCAAAGUCAGGAAUGAAGUCCAUUGAAAAGCAGCCUUAGUUGAAAUUGGGAUUAUUCCUCCCUGAGGAUGCUACUGAAAUCUUCAUGACAUGACCUCAUUAAUUUCUGUGGGUUCAGAGUUAUCCACCUUUGUGAACUCCCAUAAUAUACUCAAUACCCAUUUGCAGAUAGAAUAAUAAGUUCUUCAGAAGAUGUUGAGAAUCUUAAAUCUCUCUUCUGUGCAAAUUGUCCAGCAUGAUUCUUGGUCCAGAACUGCAAAAUGUAUUUCAUUUCCCAUUUAUCCCCUUAAUGAAGAAUCAGACUUGAACCAUUUGAGACUACCUUUGAGGAACAAAGAUAGAAUCUGGGAGCUGGAAAGCCCUUCACCUGCAGGAAGAGGUCAACCUAAGGUAUCUGCAACACUUCAGUAGAGAGGAGAUGCCUAAUGAAGAACUGCGGGCCAGAUGGCCUCAGCUGGAGUGUUGUUGGAUCAGAGCUACGAUUUGGAAACCUUUAUCUAGAGCCAAUAUGUAGGGUAUAUUAGAUGGGGGAGGGGGAAAAAGAAAAUGCCUGCAGUGGAGAAGUUGCGGCGUGUAGGAACAUAAGAGGUGAAAGGAGUAAGGCAGCAUGGAGUUCUCAUUUCAGAGGCCAAAAGACCCUCCUGGACUCAUUGUAUGGAAAUGCAAAAUCUUAUUUAGAGAAAGAAACAAACAAAAAAAAACAGGAAUCGAGAGUUUCUUUCCUUUUAAAAAUAUUAAUAUUUGAUUCUAAUCUCCUACUGUUAGGGCAAAUCAGAUACACUUUCAGGUCCCAUCUGGCCCAUGGAUGUCCAGUUUCUUACCUUAGGCUGGAGAGUAUGCACCUCUGAACCUGUUGAUUAAAAAUACUGGAGAGGGAUGGGGAUGUGGCUCAGUGAUAGAGCACUUGCCUAUCAUGUGCAAAGCCCUGUUCAGUCCCCAGAAUUGCAAAACGAUUUUUUUUUUAAAUGAAGCACUGAAAAUGCAGUAGGUAAGUCUGUGUAGAAGAUAAAUAGGCCAUUUAAAUUACAUGUCUAGAAAGAGGGUACAGGUCAAGGUUGGAAAUACCCCAUAGAACGGUUCUCUACACAGGAUGAGUCUCUCUCUUAUCCCCUCAGGGCCAUUUAGCAAGUUCUGAAGACAUUUUGUGUUGUUAGAGCUGAGAAGUGCUACUAGAACUUAAUGCCUAGGGUCCAAAGAUGCAGCUAAACAUUGCACAGAAAUCCAUUCACAACCCUAACCUGGCCCCAGAUACUAGCAGUGCUGAGACUGAAGGCCCUGGGUUAGAAAACUGUUUGCAGGGGGUUAUCAGUUCAAGUGUGGGAGAUGAAUUAGGCAUAGAAAGAGGAAAACAGAAGAGAAAGAAAGCAGCUGUACAUGGGAUGAAGUGGUGUUUGGGGAACAGCUCUGUGAAAGCACAGGAAGAAGAGCCAGGCACAGACAGGCUCCUGAGAGGGAGUAAAUCACCAAGAGGAGCUGCCUGGUCUCAGUGUUCUGAUCCUGUUACUCAGUAGGAACCAGAGCAUUCAACACUGGGGUCUGUGGGAGACACUGGAAGGUUCCGUGGAGUGGAGAGAGUUGGUACAGAAUGUGAAGCUCUUUGGGAGGGAAUUCUUGGUGUUGCUGUGGGACAUGAAGCAGCAUAGCCAGCAGCCUGGGCCUCAUAUUUUGCAGAUGGCUCUGGGCUGUGACCUCAAGGAGAAUGGCAACUUCAAGAGCUUCUGGAAAUACAGCUUCGAGGGACAGGACUACCUCACAUUCCAGCCAGCAACACUCUGCUGGAAGGCUGAUGCUCCUGAGGCCCAAAGCAUGGCACAGAGUUUGAAGAAGGAUAGAGACUUGGCCCAGCACCAUGGUGCCUUUAUCAAUGGUGACUGCCAGCACUAUCUUCAGAAGUACCCAGGACCUGGGAAGAAAGCUUUGGUGCAAUCAGAGUCUCCUUCAGUGUCUGUGACCAGCUGUCAGAGCUCUUCCUGGGAAAUAGUGCUGCAGUGCCAAGACCUGUGCUUCUUCCCUUGUGCUAACAUGCUGAGCUUGUGGAGGGGCCAGGAAGCCCUGCCCUUGGUCCACAGUGGGUAUCGGCUGAAUGGAAAUGGAAUCUGUCAGUGCUGGGUGAAUGUGACUGUCCCUAGAGGAGAAGAAGCCAUGUACUCCUGCCAUGCUAAGCAUGGAGGCCUGAAGGAGCCCCUCAUCAUCAAGUGGGACUUCUCAUCUGACUGUACACGCCCACAACCCUCUGCUUGGGUGUUCAUUUUGGCAGGUGUUUCGACCAUACUUGGCAUUGCAGGUCUCUGGGAAAAGCUAAUCUAAUCAGUGACUGGAUGGAUAUUGACUCUACUGCUUACCACUCCAUGCAGUGCAAUUGAUCCAUUUUACCUCUCCAUUCUCCAUGAAGGAUGCCAAUCUUCCCACUUCUUGUCAUAGCAGGUGGGGAGAGGGUAGCAAAUGCAGAGGGUGUACCUCCUUUGUUAUUAUUUGUCCUGUUAUGAUUUAGAUAUGAAGCGUCCCCCAAAAACUCAUUUGCUGGAAACAUGACCCAUAACAUAGCAAUGGUCAGAGAUGAAAAGAAUGGAAUAAGAGAGCUGUAACCGCAUGAGUGGAUUUAUCCAUUUGAUGACUUGAAUCUUUGAAUGGACUACUAGGUGGUUACUGUAGGCAGGUUGGUCAUGGUAGGAGGAAGUAGGUCACUCAGGGCAUGUGAUUGGGGAUUGAUUAUAUCUUGAGGAGCAGAGCCCUCCUCAUGUUCCCUCUCUGCUUCCCUGCUCCCAUGAGCUGACAGCUUUCCUCCACCACACCCUUCUACCAUGAUGCUCUGCCUCACCUCAUGCCCAGAACAAUGGACUGAACCUCUGAAAUCAUCAGCUCCCCCAAAACUGUUUCUCCUCUAAGUUGUUCUUAUCAUGUAUUUUGAUCACAGCAAUAAAAAGCUGACUAACAAGUCACUGGUUACUUCA